UAGUUUAAGCAAUUAGUGGUUUUUGUUUAUUUUGUUAAUGGGUUGAUUUUUGAGUAAGAGAAAAGAUGCCUCUUCUUUCAGCAGCAAGAUCCAUACUUGUUAGCUUUGUUCUGGAGGCACAUAU